rnacentral:lncRNA from 1 species
GCCCGCGGGCCGCAGCGCAGCGCUCGCCUGGCGGGGGAGGGGGCGCACGCAGCGGGCAGUGACUUUGCCAAAAGGUGGGCGCACAGAGGGCAUUGCAUUUCCUGGGAGGAAGAGGAGGAGACGUGGGAAUGUAGGGAACUUGCAAAGGAGGAAGGGAAAGAGGGAGGUGUGGAGGCUUGCCUCCACUGGAGGAAGAGGAAGGAGACGUAGGAGGAAGCGGCCGAGUUGAGGGGCUGCUAGAGAAGUGGGGCGACUUGAGUCUCCUAUGCAGGUGCCAAAUUAGGGGACUGAGCCUGAGCUAAAGUAUUCCCUUCGACAGACCUCCUCCUGAGCCCCACCCCGGAUUCCCAGCAAGACUCAAAACUUACAGGAUGUUCAAACUGGCAGAGACAAACUUCCAACCCAUUCACUUCACCCGUGAGAAUGCUGAAACUUGCAGAAAAGAAAUGAUUUGCACAGAACCUACUCUCAACAGAUCCAGGAGCGGGACCCGAGUCCCUGCCUCCCCUCAGGAUUGAUUCCAGCCCGCAGGCAGGGUCCUGACUGCCUCCUAACCUCUGAACUGUGAACCAGGUUAGAUAUCAGACUAGGCAGGAGGACCACCCAGUGAAGUGACUUUAUAUUUCCCUUCCAGAACUAGUUCUGAGAAGGUUCUGGUUGACAGUGAGCCCUGAGGAACAGAGACAAUCAGUUGCUUCAGGGUAACUUCCCUUGUACUAUGCUGAAAGAGGUGAGUUAAACAACUACAGCUUGCUCUGUACUUACAGUUUCGAAAAAAUGUAUACGAACUGGGUGGACUGGUUUGAAUAAAGACAAGCCUGUUCUUGGAAGGUUCAAGUCGGA